AUUGAACGCUGGCGGCAUGCCUUACACAUGCAAGUCGAACGGCAGCACGGGAGCAAUCCUGGUGGCGAGUGGCGAACGGGUGAGUAAUAUAUCGGAACGUGCCCAGUCGUGGGGGAUAACGCAGCGAAAGCUGUGCUAAUACCGCAUACGAUCUAUGGAUGAAAGCGGGGGAUCGCAAGACCUCGCGCGAUUGGAGCGGCCGAUAUCAGAUUAGCUAGUUGGUGGGGUAAAGGCCCACCAAGGCGACGAUCUGUAGCUGGUCUGAGAGGACGACCAGCCACACUGGAACUGAGACACGGUCCAGACUCCUACGGGAGGCAGCAGUGGGGAAUUUUGGACAAUGGGCGCAAGCCUGAUCCAGCAAUGCCGCGUGCAGGAUGAAGGCCUUCGGGUUGUAAACUGCUUUUGUACGGAACGAAACGGUCCUUUCUAAUACAGGGGGCUAAUGACGGUACCGUAAGAAUAAGCACCGGCUAACUACGUGCCAGCAGCCGCAGUAACAC
rnacentral:rRNA from 1 species